GAAAAAUUAUAAAAGAAAACUUUCAAAUAAAAUUAAAAAAAAUAUAUAAGAUGUAGAAAACUAUGAAAGAACCUGUUAGAGGAAUAGUUGAAAACAUUAGAUAAAAAAUAUUAUUUGAGGAAAACACAAAAUUUGAAAAAGUUUGACGAAUGCCAACUAUUGGAUCCUUGAGUAACAGACGUCAACACAUUAAAGGAGGAUGUUAAUUCACAUAUUCUGGAGGGUAAGAAAUGCCAAAGUAAUUUGAAAGGGUGCCCUCGCGAGGAAGUGCCAUAACCAAAAGGUCAGAUCUGGGAAAGUUGCCACUUGCUACAGAUACAAGGUCUGAGGAACUACCCACAGACAAAUCGGCUACUUCUUUUGGGUCCUCUCUCUCUUUGGCACUUUUCCCUGUCCAGGUCAUGUAACAGUCAUCUCCCUACCAUGUGUGGCUAAUUAAAGAUAAAAUAGUAUAAAAUAUGUAUUAAGAUAAACCAAAAUAAAAUACUGUGGGCUCUAAAUCAAGUGACAUGUCCUUAUACAAGGCAUAACACACGGCACUUGUGCCAGUCAACAAUCAACACAUUAUUAAGGAAGCUAGAUCACAUGGUCGACAGGUUUAAAAGGCGCUGAAGUACUUAUCGAAUUCCCAAGGACUAUUUCUUUAGGCUCCCCCAAGCCUAUCUAUACAUACAAGGUCUCGAUUCUCGAAAUUAGGCUAGAUAACAAUGUCAAUUGUCAACUAUACAUGGCCUCAUAGUAUGAUUAAGCGGAUAUCUAAUGAUCCCUUCCACUUUAGAGCCUUCAUAGUGCAUUCUCUCUUCGGCACCUUUUAUUCCUGCAACUCGUGGUCUAAUUCAUACCUUUAUCUAGCGUCCCCUAAAGGACAACUAGAAGCAAAAUUAAGGAUUAAAAAGGAAAAAUAAGAAUACAAAUAAGAAAAAAAAUAUUAAUGCAUAUCUCAGAAAAAAAAUAAUCUAAAAUUCAAAGUAAGAAAACAAAUUAAGCAUGCAUAAAGCAAAUAAAGUCAAUCAUAUGCACCAAAUAGAAAUAAGGGAGCAAUAUCAAACAAAGAAAGAGAAUAGUUACAAUAAUAAGAUCAACUGCUCUAUAAUCAUGUCCUUAUACGUGUGCCAGCCAACAGUCAACAGAUUACUAAGGAAGUUAGAUCACGUGGUCUACCGGUUUCAAAGGCACUGAAGUAGUUAUCUAGUACCCAAAGGCUCCAUUCCCAAGCUAUAUACACAAGGUAUGAAAAUUCAACCAGAUAAAAACAAUGUCAAAUAUAAAUGACCUAAUAGUCUGAAUAAGCGGAUAUCUAUGAUCCACUCCCCUUUCACGCAUGCAUUCUAAUUUCAGCACCUUUUCUUCCUGCAGGUUGUGUUCUAAUUCAAGCCCUACCAAUCUGUGUGUUGUAUCUGCAAGAUUUUAUCUAGUGUUCCCAAAAGGGCAAUUAUAGUAACACAUAAUGGUUACAAAGGAACAAUAAGAAUACAAAUAAAAAAAAUAACAUAUUGAUGUACAUCUUAUAAGAAACUCUAAUUCAAAGUAAAGAAAAAAAACUAAGUAUGCAUAAAACAAAUAAAGUCAACCAUAUGCAAAAGAAUAUAUAUAUAACAAAAAGGAGUAAUACAAAAAUAAACAUAAAAAAUCACUACAAAGAUAAGUCUGAAAGUUCUAAUGCAUGUCCUUAUAUGUGGCAUAACAGAUAGCACUUCCGCCAGUCAACACAUUACUAAGGAAGCUAGAUCAUAUGGCCUACAGGUUUCAAAGGCGCUGAAGUAGUUAUCUAGUGCUGAAGCACUAUUUCACUCCCAAGCUACCUAUGCCAGGUCUGAUAUAAGUGGAUAUCUAUGAUCCCUUCCACUUACAAACCUUCAUUCUAUCUUAAGCGCCUUUUCUUCCUGCAGGUCUUGUCCUAAUUCCUUCCCCAACAAUGUGUGUAUCCGCAAGCCAUUAUCCAGCGUUCCGAAAAGGACAAUUACGGUCGUACAUAAGCACCACCAGAAAAUAAUAAAUAACAAUGAAUACUUCUCAUAAAACUACAAAAACCCAUUGAAAACAAACUAGGAAUGUGAAAAAAAAAAGCUUCGUACAACUUAGCGUUACAUAAAAACAAGAAAAAAUAGUGUUUUUAUUAAGAGCUCAAAAGGAAUAAACAAAAACAAAGUAAGGAUGCGGAAAAAUGAAUUCAACUACAUGGAAGCAAUAUACAGACUGAACUACAACAAAAUGAAAAUAUAUGGGAGAAAAAGUUUCAAAAAAGUAAUAAAACAUCGAAGUAGAUAAAAUCUAAAUGUCAACAUAUCUUAUAGGUGAAUUUGCAAAAAAGUUUAUCAAGUGGAUAUAAAGACAAAGCUGCACAACGAAUUGAAUGAAACUAAAAAUCACAAACAAGUUUUUUAAGCAGCAAAAACAUCUGAGAUUAUAAGAUUUUCAAUAACAAAAACAACAAAAGAUCCUGGAAAAUUGUUAUAAUGCGGUAUAGUUUUGUUAGAAUUAUUAAGAAAGUUUGAUAAGCAGAUAAAGUAACCUCGUCAGACAGUACUUUAAAGGACUAAUUUGAAAUAACAUGUUUAGUGAGCCUAACAAGAAAAGCAACAUCCACUACUAGUAGCUCAGAAAUUGUUAUUAUGACUAUAAAGAUAACUCAUUUCUUACCAAUCAAGUACAGCACAAGGACAAAGAAGCAAAUUGCUUGCUUUCACUUGCUAUGGAACAAAAUCAUGGAAACAAUCAAUCCGUGCAGUUGUAUAAACUUGGAAACCUUCAAAACAAAAUCACAUAGGAGUAGAAAUUAAUUUUAUCUAUCGAUUUCAACCCUAAAACUGUAACAAUUGAAAUAAAUUCGAAGUUGAAGAAGAGUUUCAAGUGAAGAGAAACCUGUAAUUGAAACCUUCAUUAGAACUAGAAGAAGUGUUUGACAUUCAAUUACAUGAGAGAGAGAGCAAAGCAUCGUGUCGAACGUUAAGACUACUUCUUCUUCUUCUUCUUCUUCUCGCCCUUUGCUUUCUCUUCUCAAGUUU
rnacentral:lncRNA from 1 species